rnacentral:rRNA from 1 species
UACGAAGGGGGGCUAGCGUUGCUCGGAAUCACUGGGCGUAAAGGGUGCGUAGGCGGGUCUUUAAGUCAGGGGUGAAAUCCUGGAGCUCAACUCCAGAACUGCCUUUGAUACUGAAGAUCUUGAGUUCGGGAGAGGAGAGUGGAAUUCCCAGUGUAGAGGUGAAAUUCGUAGAUAUUGGGAAGAACACCGGUGGCGAAGGCGGCUCUCUGGACCGAUACUGACGCUGAGGCGCGAAAGCGUGGGGAGCAAACAGG